CCCGCAACGAGCGCAACCCUUGCCAUUAGUUGCUACGAAAGGGCACUCUAAUGGGACUGCCGGUGACAAACCGGAGGAAGGUGGGGAUGACGUCAAGUCCUCAUGGCCCUUAUAGGUGGGGCUACACACGUCAUACAAUGGCUGGUACAAAGGGUUGCCAACCCGCGAGGGGGAGCUAAUCCCAUAAAGCCAGUCGUAGUCCGGAUCGCAGUCUGCAACUCGACUGCGUGAAGUCGGAAUCGCUAGUAAUCGUGGAUCAGAAUGUCACGGUGAAUACGUU
rnacentral:rRNA from 1 species